CAGAAUGACACUAGAAAGACACUCUUCAGAUAUCACAUAAUCUAAGAUUUAAUUUUUUGCUCCAACAUAUGGAAAAAUGAAACCCUAGGGUACUCUAGCAACACUUGCUAAAAAUCUCACCACCCUUCUUACCACUUUUGCCACUCAAAUUUCCUUCUUUUUUUCCUCAAAUUUUUUCCAAAAUUUUUUUAUAUUUACCACAUCCAUUCUCUCUAAUU
rnacentral:lncRNA from 1 species